CUCAACUCAUCACUAUACAAAACACUAGAACUUGAGGAUCUGCGGCUGGGCUUUGUUGACGCCUGGUACACCAUUCUGAUGAGAACAAGUUGACGUUAUAUCCACCUUCUCAGACAAUCUGUUACUCGACGGUCAGGUUUUUUUUUUUCCCCCUUCAUCGACUUGCUUGAUGACGGAGGAUGGCGAGCUACCCACACACCAUCUGGUGGUAG